CAUGGAGCCAGCCACCAGGUCAGACAUGCUGAAUCUUUCCCGUGGCAGAGAGGACCAUGCCUCAAGGAUGCGAUGACAGGGUGGCUGAGCUGCCUGGGAACCUACUCUUGCUGAGAUGCCCCCUUUGGAGGAGACCCACUUGCCCCUCUGGCACCAGAGAGUGAGAAGAGGUGGUAUCCGCCUUCCAUAAGAUCGAGGAGCAUGUCUGAAUUGUUGCAGAGAAGAGUCAGCCCGGCCUGUGGCCCUUAGUUCCUACGUGGGCGCCGACAUGUGUGACACUCGCUGCCUGCACGUCUCUGGGCUGCACCGGCCUCUGGGAGAGCUGCCUGGGCAUGCGAUAUCCGGGAGAAGGCCGCCACCCACCGAGGCUUCCCAGUGAAUAAGGAGUUUCUCUUGGGGUUUUCAGAGGCCUGGGCAGAGCCUUGAGCACUUAAAACAGCUCCAAUAAAGCAUGAAUAAUGA